rnacentral:rRNA from 1 species
GUGGGGAAUCUUCCGCAAUGGACGAAAGUCUGACGGAGCGACGCCGCGUGAGUGAAGAAGGCGUUCGGGUCGUAAAGCUCUGUCAUCAGGGACGAACGGCCGGUGGAGUGGAAAGCCACCGGAUUGACGGUACCUGAGAAGGAAGCCACGGCUAACUACGUGCCAGCAGCCGCGGUAAUACGUAGGUGGCAAGCGUUGUCCGGAAUUAUUGGGCGUAAAGCGCGCGCAGGUGGGAUCUUAAGUCCAUUUUGAAAGUUCGGAGCUCAACUCCGUGAUGGGAUGGAAACUGGGAUUCUUGAGUACCGGAGAGGAAAGCGGAAUUCCCCGUGUAGCGGUGAAAUGCGUAGAUAUGGGGAGGAACACCAGUGGCGAAGGCGGCUUUCUGGACGGUGUCUGACACUGAGGCGCGAAAGCUAGGGGAGCGAACGGGAUUAGAAACCCCGGUAGUCC